rnacentral:rRNA from 1 species
GACGAACCACACAAACGUUAUUCGGAAUUACUGGGCUUAAAGGGUGCGUAGGCGGCGCGGAAAGUUGGGUGUGAAAUCCCUCGGCUCAACCGAGGAACCGCGCUCAAUACUACCGUGCUCGAGGGAGACAGAGGUGAGCGGAACUUAGGGUGGAGCGGUGAAAUGCGUUGAUAUCCUAAGGAACACCCGUGGCGAAAGCGGCUCACUGGGUCUCUUCUGACGCUGAGGCACGAAAGCUAGGGUGGCGAACGGG